rnacentral:rRNA from 1 species
GAUGAACGCUGGCGGCGUGCCUAAUACAUGCAAGUCGAGCGAACAGAUAAGGAGCUUGCUCCUUUGACGUUAGCGGCGGACGGGUGAGUAACACGUGGGUAACCUACCUAUAAGACUGGGAUAACUUCGGGAAACCGGAGCUAAUACCGGAUAACAUUUGGAACCGCAUGGUUCUAAAGUGAAAGACGGUUUUGCUGUCACUUAUAGAUGGACCCGCGCCGUAUUAGCUAGUUGGUAAGGUAACGGCUUACCAAGGCAACGAUGCGUAGCCGACCUGAGAGGGUGAUCGGCCACACUGGAACUGAGACACGGUCCAGACUCCUACGGGAGGCAGCAGUAGGGAAUCUUCCGCAAUGGGCGAAAGCCUGACGGAGCAACGCCGCGUGAGUGAUGAAGGUGUUCGGCUCGUAAAACUCUGUUAUUAGGGAAGAACAUACGUGUAAGUAACUGUGCACGUCUUGACGGUACCUAAUCAGAAAGCCACGGCUAACUACGUG